CUACCACAAGGAGAGUGGGGCAUAAAGGCAUUUGUGGAGCAUUCUGUUUGCUAAUUGCUCAUGGAAUUUCAGGUUGAAAGAGAAGAAGGGAAUUUACCAGGUGGCUGCAUCUUGAAAAACAGGUACUUUCUAGCAAUGAACUUCAUCCAAAGAUACUGAAGGUAGGUUAUGAUUCCAACAACAGGCACAGAGAAAGUGGCAGG